rnacentral:rRNA from 1 species
GUGAGGAAUAUUGGUCAAUGGGCGGUAGCCUGAACCAGCCAAGUAGCGUGAAGGAUGAAGGCUCUAUGGGUCGUAAACUUCUUUUAUAUAAGAAUAAAGUGCAGUAUGUAUACUGUUUUGUAUGUAUUAUAUGAAUAAGGAUCGGCUAACUCCGUGCCAGCAGCCGCGGUAAUACGGAGGAUCCGAGCGUUAUCCGGAUUUAUUGGGUUUAAAGGGAGCGUAGAUGGAUGUUUAAGUCAGUUGUGAAAGUUUGCGGCUCAACCGUAAAAUUGCAGUUGAUACUGGAUAUCUUGAGUGCAGUUGAGGCAGGCGGAAUUCGUGGUGUAGCGGUGAAAUGCUUAGAUAUCACGAAGAACUCCGAUUGCGAAGGCAGCUCACUGGACUGCAACUGACACUGAUGCUCGAAAGUGUGGGUAUCAAACAGGAUUAGAAACCCGAGUAGUCC